CUUCUCUUCCUUACCUUCUCCCACCUCUCCUCCAAAUAUCCACGAUGCUGCAGGAGAAAUAACAACGGCUAAAGUUGUGGAGAGGAUUUUUUUUUCUUUUGAAACAGAGUGUAAAGCCACAUUCAUAAUAACCAGGUUCCCUAUAUAAAUCUAUUUUUAAGAUGAUUAUAGGGUUUCCAUAGUCGUUCUAGCAUCAACUGCUGGUUUUGUUUCCUCGUCGUCAGUAAACUGUUGGCAGGAUAGUGCACCAGAGGUAUACUUUUUAAAGGGUAUAAUUGCAUGGCGCAGAAAUUAUCACUUUCUCGACGACGGGUUUCGUUGGCCGCUCCCUUUGAGAAUCCGGUUUGGAAGCUGGGCUUGUCAGCCCCUCCAAGCACACAUUGCAUUGUGUGUGCUGGCCUCACAGCACAUCAUGCUGGCAACCAUGGGCAGAGGGUAGCAAUUAAACCACACAAUAGGCAUCAAGGGAUGAGGAGAAGACACUGUGUUUAAAAUAAACGAAUACCAGAAGCACAGCCAGCUUCCCUAGGAAGGCUCUCUGAGCCGUGUGGCAAGCCAAGAUGGAGCAGACUUUGCAGAGCAAGCUGGGAAAUUCCCCAUGGUGCCAAGCCAUUAGCCAGCCACUGAGCUGCAUCCCUCCCAAGGAUCUACCAUGGGACCCCUUCUCCAGGACCAACCUUCUCUGGGGUCUACAGACCUGGGAAGGAGGCUUUGUAGAACUAUAUUCUUUCUAGUGCCCGGGCCCAGAGGCUGUGCGAAUUUAGAUUGACUUGGCAGCUUUUUUGAAAGGCAUGUUUAAUAACACAGACCCGGGGACUUUGGUUCUCCCUCAGAAAUACGGGACGGAUAGGAGAAGUCAGACUCUGAAAUGGAAGCUAACAAGCAUCAACAUCCUCUAGGUAAAAUUACCUAUUGGCAGAAGUAACUGACUCUGAAGAGGUGAUAAUAAUGUAAUAAUGAGUCAACAUAGUCCCCAAUUUCCACCGAGGGGAAUCAAGAAAACUAUGCAGACAAAAAACCACAGUGUCUCUCAUCCUAAUCAAGAUGAUCAGCAUGGUGCCUCGGUACUGAAAUGUAGCUGGUGUCGAAAAUCAGAAGCCGAUAAGAUAAUAAGCAACGAUAGUAGCCUUAAGUCUGAAAUACGUAAUGUGUAGAGACAAGAAUAAAGGGGGCUGCAAAGCAAGAAUGGAUGGACGGUAGUUUAAGUUCUAUUAUCUGGGGGAAAGGGCAUCAGGAUGCUAACAAAGGUCGUCAGAGAAGAGAAGGGCACUUCAACUAGUUAUCCUAACCAGAUAAAAUUAGGUACUACAACAUUAACUACUCUUCUCCCAAAUUUGUGUCACCAAGCAAGGUUUCUGGUCCUCAGCUUGGACCCUGAGUGGCCUGACCCACCAAAAGAGGGAAUCCUGAGAAUAUUUGUUCAUUCAUUGACUUAACCCACAUUUUUAAGUACCCCCAUAUCCCAGGUACUCCAGCACAAAGGUUAUAGGGAUACAAUGGAUGGUUAACAUUUUCAAGGAGUUCACAGCCCAUCUGGACAAGGAAGUCAACAUAUAAUUAUAAUGGGAAGGGGUAGACUCCCUUACGGAGGUACACAGAAGCAUGAAUUGGGAAUACGGAGAAGAGGCACUUUACCCAGACAGUAGUGGGGAGGUGUCAAUGAGGCCAUAACAGAUUAGAUCCGAAUUUACCUUGAAAAUAUGAAGAUUAGAAGAGGUAAUAGAGGAUGAGGAUGGUCAACCGGGGUUGGCAUUAUGUUUCCAAGAGGCAAGGCAGUGUAUUCAAAGCAGACGUUAAAACCAGAGGUAGUGUGGAGGAGACGUUGGAGAGCAUUAUGGAUUCGGGAGAUACUGGAACAUUUUGGAUAUGAGGAGAGGUAUGGAAGGAGAUGAGCUAGAAAGAGGUUAUAUCAGGAAUUGCCUGAUUAGCAAUUUGUAGGCAGAAACGAGCUAUUGAAAAUGUUAAGCAGGGGAGUAAUAUGGUUGAAUUUGCAAUUUAGAUGAUAUUUCCAUACAGAUCUCUCACUCCGAAUGAACUGAUAUUCUGAUGUGUGGAUUUGGUAAAUGCAGAUGUCUUACUUUGACUGAGUCCAAGAGCUUGAUGACCUUUAGCUGGCUUGGUUGCAUAGCAUGUGAUAUAAAAAUCAAACUGAACUUUCUGGAGAGAUGGUGAACAAGAUCAAGCACACCCAAAGUGGGAGCUAUUCGAGAGGAGACUGAAAUUCGUCCAUUCAAUUAAAAUGGCAUUUAUGAGACACUAUAUGUUCACAUAAAAAUAGCAUAAGACACAGUACAGAAGCCAAAAGCUUCAAGAGAGAAGAAAUCCAGAGAACAAUGGAAGUGGGCUUGAAGAGCUCCCUGUUGUGCCGAGAACCUCCACUGUCAGCAUCGGGAGACCUCCAUCUCAGGAUAUUCCAAAGAUCUUGCACACAAGUGCUCGCAAGGUAGG